rnacentral:lncRNA from 1 species
CCGACGCGACUCUUUUCUUCGGGUUGGCGAGGGUUGAUUGUUCCUAUCUCCGUUCUCAACAAUUCGAGAUUUUAUUUUGAUUUCUUGUCCAAAUAAGCGUUUUGCGAGCUUUGUUGCCCAAUACAGCUCAAUACAAUAAGGUAAUUGCCCUUUUACUCACUUUUUUUUACACCACGUGGGGCACAAUUUCGGAGGAACAACUUUGGAAGACUGUGCUGCUGCAGCCAAAUAGCGGCGCAGAAACACUAAGACAAAAAAGUAACUAACAGACUCCCGGGGCGAGAGGAGUGAGAGAGUAUUUUGAUUGAAGUCACCAUCCAAAAAUGUACCGGCCUUGAAUGUCGUGAUGAGCACGAUAAAUGAGCACAAGAGUUACACUUAAAAAAGCGAACCGUCCGCACCGUGGUGCUUAUGAUAAACGAAAAAGUGCUGCAGUAUCUCGUUCAUAUCAUUAAAAAUGAAGUAGACACCUUUGGUGAGGCUCCACUUCAAUGCGAUGCAAAUUUGCAGAAAUCAGAACACUUUCAUUGAGAAAGCUAAAGGAUUAUCUAAAAAUAAUGCAAGAAAGAAAAAAUAUUCAAUUGAUUAAGCUAUAGCAAUAAUGAUCGAAAAAAUAUUAACGGCGUAAUUUAUUACUAAUUUUUAUAUAUACUUUUAUAUAAUACUUUUAUAGCAAAAAAAAAAUAGUUCAAAGACCAUAUCUGCGUAAAACAUUGUGAUUUAAGUGUCUAAUUUUUGAAACAUUUUUUUCAACAUUAAAAAACUAUUUUGUAUUAUCUUCGUAUUAUAGAUCCAAACUAGAAAAUAAUUCCAGAUUUGAUCAGUAUAUUAUAUUAAUUUAAUAUCAGUGGGUUUUUUUUAAAUUAGCUGUAUGUUUAGUCUGAAAAACUUUUGAAGAUUUAAAAACCACAUAAAUGUACGACUUCUCUGUCAUUAUGGUUACCACGAUUUCUGGUAAAAUAUUAAAAAAGAAUUUCUUGAAAUCUGUUAAAUAACAGAAUUAUAGAAGUAAUGCAAAAUAAUGACAUGGUCUGAUUUGUAAGUUUUGUAGGGUUUUAAAAAUAAUUUCUGAAAUAACUUCAUAUUACAUUACAUUUACUUCCACGUUUACACCUCGUCACGAAUCUUAUACUCUCUUAAAUGUUUAGACCUGAAAAUACACUAAUGGCACUAUUAAUGCAUGCCUUUCAGUUGUAAAUUGUCUUUGACAAUUGUUAUACCGCAAUGUAUAUUGCAGUGCAAAGUCUUACUUGUCCCUUUUAUAGUUCGCCCAGCGAAUAGACGUGGACGGAAAUAAUUUAAAGAAUGUAGAAAACAAAAAUCUGUGGCAUUUGUCAGACUUAUGUAUUUUUCGUUAUCUAUUAUUUAUGAAUUUUUGUAUUAAAUAUGUCUUAAAAUUGCUUUCGAAUAGGACUCAUUUCGCUAAAAAUCUAGAUAAUAUUGUUAGCUUCAUAGUUUUAUACUAUCAAUAAUCGUAUUUGUUAAAUUAAAGUUUUAAUUAAAAUACCCAGCCCUCGACGCGAUUUUUUUAUUAAUCAGCAGUCAAAUAUUUAUUUAUGGUCUAUUUUGAGAAUUUUACAACAAGCGUGGGAUUCGUAUUUGAAUCUGAUUUUAAUGAUAGGCAUAGAAUAUAAUUUAUAGUUUUUGGCACUGCACUGUUUUUACAUCAAAGACGAGCUUCGUAUGCAUAAAUACAUCAUAGUGUACAUUGUCAUGAUGGACUACUGUAAUAAUAUUUGAAUUUAAAAAAAAAACAUUAUUUUUUUAUUGUAAAAAUAAUGUAUUUUAUAAGUGCAUCUUACAUAAAAAAAAGUUUUAAAUAUUUGUUUGGCCAUAAUCUUAAUUUAUUCGCGAAAAGAAAAAUAAAUAUGUAAAAAAAUA